rfam:Pteropus alecto contig11146, whole genome shotgun sequence.
GAAAUCUUUGGAGAGUGCUCCCUUUAAAAUCAGAACGAUACAGAGAAGACAGGCAUGACCCCUGCACAAGGAUGACAUGCAAAUUUGUGAAGCAUUCUAUAUUUUA